AAGGAGGACGCUUUUGUAAAUGGAAAUUUAUGCCCCACUUCUAAGCAGAAAGGGGGAGGGUACAGUGGUUCUUCCAGCUGUAGUUUCUCAUUUGCCUUCAACUCAAAACAGUCCUUAAAACAAAGUGGCACAUUUUCAGUGGCAUGCCUGAUCCUUUGCAGAAGUUAAGGGAACAGACCAGCCAGCUCUUGACCAGCACCUGUGGCAGCCAGGCUUAAACGCUGACUUUCUUACUCUGUAGGCACCAAACUUUUCAGAGAAUGCCCCCAUCCUUAC
rnacentral:lncRNA from 1 species